CGAAGGGUGCUAGCGUUGUUCGGAAUGACUGGGCGUAAAGGGAGCGUAGGCGGUCCUAUAAGUCAAAUGUGAAAUUCCUGGGCUCAACCUGGGGACUGCAUGUGAUACUGUAGGACUAGAGAUCACGAGGGGAAAACGGAAUUGUGCGUGUAGAGGUGAAAUUCGUAGAGAUGCACAAGAACACCGGUGGCGAAGGCGGUUUUCUGGAGUGAUACUGACGCUAAGGCUCGAAAGCGUGGGAGCAAACAGGAUU
rnacentral:rRNA from 1 species